GGUGAGAUGGCCGAGCGGUCUAAGGCGCCAGACUAAGGCGGUUCUACGCAUCUGGUCCGAAAGGGCGUGGGUUCGAAUCCCACUCUCAUCA